AUGUGUAUUGGAGUUGUGGCCCACCUCCUAGUCUUGUAUAGGUCAAGCAGAGGACCUCCUUUGUAUUAUAUAUACGUGCACCAGCACCCCAUCAAUACGUCGAUUGUAUUGCAAACUUUCCCGUCUACAACCUUUGUCCACACGGAGCACAACCGCCGCCUUCUUCUCUGCUCGCGCGGCCCCGCGCUCGCAGGGAUCCCUGGGUUCCGCUUCACAGCUGUCCCGGACGGCCUGCCCCCGUCCGAGGAGGACGCGUCGCAAGACAUGGUUGCCCUCUUGUCCACCAUGGAUGCCUUCGUUCCUCCCUUCAGGAACCUCGUGUUCGAUCUCCCGCCUGUGACCUGGGUCAUCUUCGACAUGGAGCACGUCUUGUAUGCGGCCAAGGAGAUGGGCCUUCCCUGUGUCACCCUCUGGACAAUGAGCGCCUGCGCCUUCUUGGCGUUCCACCAAUGUCAGUCGCUUGUCGAUAUGGGCAUUGUCCCGCUCAAAGAGGCUGAGCACCUAAAGAAUGGAUACCUGGACAACACGGUCCUGGACUCGGUGCCGGGGAUGCCCAAAGACGUUCGCGUCAGAGACUUCCCGAGCUUCAUCCGCACCACCGACCUUGACGAUGCCAUGCUUAAGACCUUGCUGCGCUCAAUGGCAUGCUACAGGACCACCCCAUCCGCCAUGAUCUUCAACACCUUCGAUGACAUAGAUCAUGAAGCCAUUGCGGAGAUGUCUACCAGCCUGCCACCGAUCUAUGCCGUGGGGCCAUUGCCGCAACUCCUCGGUCAAGUCUCUGGUAGUGUGGUUGACACAUUGGAAUCAAACCUUUCCAAGGAGAACAACUCCUUCCUAGAAUGGCUCAAUGGUAAGCGGCAUGGCUCAGUGGUGUAUGUGAGCUCUCGGAGCAUAACAACGCUAACGAGCGAACAACAAAUAGAGUUCACAUGAGGUUCAGCAAACAGUCGACAAGAGUUCCUGUGGGUGAUCAGAAAUGACCAAGUGAACAAUGGCGACGGCAAUGCCCCGGCUUCUAUUCUGCCACCGGAAUUCUUGGAGGAGACGGAGGAAAGGAGUUACGUGACGAGCUGGUGUCCACGAGAGGAAGUGCUUCAAGACGAGGCGGUUGGCGCAUUCUUGACACAUUUUGGGUGGAACUCGGUUUUAGAGAGUAUGAGCACUGGGGUGCCAAUGUUCUGUUGGCCAUUCGGCGCCGACCAGUUUACGAACAAGCGGUAUGUUUGCUCUGAGUGGCGUGUUGGGCUGGAGAUCAGCGACAACGUUGAAAGAAAUGAGGUGAAGGAGGCCAUCAUAGAAAUGAUGGAAGGGGACAAGGGAAAAGAAUUAAAAACAGUGGCGAUGGAAUGGAAGGAGAAGUCAACCGUUGCUGCACUGCCAGGUGGAUCCUCUUGGGUAAAUCUAGAGAAGGUUGUCAAUGAGGUGCUUCUUGUGACUCCUACCAAGAGGGUCACGGAAUAUGAGUAG
rnacentral:rRNA from 1 species